UACGUAGGGGGCUAGCGUUGUCCGGAAUUAUUGGGCGUAAAGAGCUCGUAGGCGGCUUGUCGCGUCGGCUGUGAAAACCUGGGGCUCAACCCCGGGCCUGCAGCCGAUACGGGCAAGCUAGAAUUCGGUAGGGGAGACUGGAAUUCCUGGUGUAGCGGUGAAAUGCGCAGAUAUCGUAAGGAAGACCAGUGGCGAAGGCGGGUCUCUGGACAGUUCCUGACGCUGAGGCACGAAGGCCAGGGGAGACAA
rnacentral:rRNA from 1 species